UAAAUUCUGGAAUAUUCGUUAAGCUCUUAUUUUGAACCUACACUUAAAAUACGGGAGUUCAAUUAUCUAGAUGUGGAAAUGUACUUUCAUAUGAGUCCUUUUACGGCUUUGAAGGCGAUUGAAUCAUCUGUGAGAUCACCCACCUAUCGAAGGAUAGGGGUCAAAAUUAGAGUACCGGUAUUUUGGAUAUUAU
rfam:Clostridium beijerinckii NCIMB 8052, complete genome.